rnacentral:tRNA from 2 species
GGGGCAUUAGCUCAGUUGGGAGAGUGCUUGCAUGGCAUGCAAGAGGUCACCGGUUCGAGCCCGGUAUGCUCCA